rnacentral:rRNA from 1 species
UACGUGGGGUGCAAGCGUUAAUCGGAAUUACUGGGCGUAAAGCGUGCGCAGGCGGUUAUGUAAGACAGGUGUGAAAUCCCCGGGCUUAACCUGGGAACUGCAUUUGUGACUGCAUAGCUAGAGUACGGUAGAGGGGGAUGGAAUUCCGCGUAUAGCAGUGAAAUGCGUAGAUAUGCGGAGGAACACCGAUGGCGAAGGCAAUCCCCUGGACCUGUACUGACGCUCAUGCACGAAAGCGUGGGGAGCAAACAGG